UGAGAUGUCGCAACGAGAAAAAUAUCUAAGAGCUUUUACUUUCUUUCAAGAAAAAUGUGUAAAUAAGCUUAAAUGUGUAAGGCUCUAGAGGCUUUGUAAUUCAUAUUUUCUUAUUCAAAAUGAUAAUUAUCUACAACAAAUAGCAAUCAAAGGAGUGAAAAUUUGGUACUAUCCUCUCUCUUUUUUUUUUCUCCCUCUCCAUUGCUAAGUUUUCACCGGUGUACCUUCUUGCAUUUUCGCCGCUAUACUCUCCGACGUCUUCCCCAAUGUCCCCUAUAUUGUCUU
rnacentral:lncRNA from 1 species